rnacentral:rRNA from 1 species
UACGGAGGGAGCUAGCGUUGUUCGGAAUUACUGGGCGUAAAGCGCGCGUAGGCGGCUUUGUAAGUUAGAGGUGAAAGCCCGGGGCUCAACCCCGGAAUUGCCUUUAAGACUGCAUCGCUUGAAUCCGGGAGAGGUGAGUGGAAUUCCGAGUGUAGAGGUGAAAUUCGUAGAUAUUGGGAAGAACACCAGUGGCGAAGGCGGCUCACUGGCCCGCAACUGACGCUGAGGUGCGAAAGCGUGGGGAGCAAACAGG